UACAGAGGGUGCAAGCGUUGCUCGGAAUCAUUGGGCGUAAAGGGCAAGUAGGUGGUCUCAUUUGUCUAGGGUGAAAUCCUUGAGCUUAACUCAAGAAGUGCCCUAGAAACGGUGAGACUCGAGUUCUGGAGAGGGUCGUGGAAUUCCCGGUGUAGCGGUGAAAUGCGUAGAGAUCGGGAGGAACACCUGCGGCGAAGGCGGGUUGCUGGGCUGACACUGACGCUGAUGCGCGAAAGCCAGGGGAGCGAACGGG
rnacentral:rRNA from 1 species